CGGGGUGAGUAAUGCUUGGGAAUCUGGCUUAUGGAGGGGGAUAACUACGGGAAACUGUAGCUAAUACCGCGUAGUGUCGAGAGACGAAAGUGCGGGACCGAAAGGCCGCAUGCCAUGAGAUGAGCCCAAGUGGGAUUAGGUAGUUGGUGGGGUAAGGGCCUACCAAGCCUGCGAUCUCUAGCUGGUCUGAGAGGAUGGCCAGCCACACUGGAACUGAGACACGGUCCAG
rnacentral:rRNA from 1 species